rnacentral:rRNA from 1 species
AUUGAACGCUGGCGGCAGGCCUAACACAUGCAAGUCGAGCGGAUGAAGGGAGCUUGCUCCUGGAUUCAGCGGCGGACGGGUGAGUAAUGCCUAGGAAUCUGCCUGGCAGUGGGGGAUAACGUCCGGAAACGGGCGCUAAUACCGCAUACGUCCUGAGGGAGAAAGUGGGGGAUCUUCAGACCUCACGCUAUCAGAUGAGCCUAGGUCGGAUUAGCUAGUUGGUGGGGUAAAGGCCUACCAAGGCGACGAUCCGUAACUGGUCUGAGAGGAUGAUCAGUCACACUGGAACUGAGACACGGUCCAGACUCCUACGGGAGGCAGCAGUGGGGAAUAUUCGACAAUGGGCGAAAGCCUGACCCAGCAAUGCCGCGUGUGUGAAGAAGGUCUUCGGAUUGUAAAGCACUUUAAGUUGGGAGGAAGGGCAGUAAGUUAAUACCUUGCUGUUUUGACGUUACCAACAGAAUAAGCACCGGCUAACUACGUG